rnacentral:rRNA from 1 species
AGUGAACGCUGGCGGUAGGCCUAACACAUGCAAGUCGAACGGCACCACAGUAAGAGCUUGCUCUUACGGGUGGCGAGUGGCGGACGGGUGAGGAAUACAUCGGAAUCUACUUUUUCGUGGGGGAUAACGUAGGGAAACUUACGCUAAUACCGCAUACGACCUACGGGUGAAAGCAGGGGAUCUUCGGACCUUGCGCGAUUGAAUGAGCCGAUGUCGGAUUAGCUAGUUGGCGGGGUAAAGGCCCACCAAGGCGACGAUCCGUAGCUGGUCUGAGAGGAUGAUCAGCCACACUGGAACUGAGACACGGUCCAGACUCCUACGGGAGGCAGCAGUGGGGAAUAUUGGACAAUGGGCGCAAGCCUGAUCCAGCCAUACCGCGUGGGUGAAGAAGGCCUUCGGGUUGUAAAGCCCUUUUGUUGGGAAAGAAAAGCAGCAGGUUAAUACCCCGCUGUUCUGACGGUACCCAAAGAAUAAGCACCGGCUAACUUCGUG